rnacentral:lncRNA from 1 species
GAGCGGAAGCGGCGGCCGGGUUCCCAGCCGCCGCCCGCGAGGAACAAAGGAGCGUCGCUGGGUCCUAGGGACCGUCUUCUUUCGUGCAGGCCCAAGCGCCUGCUCCUUAGUCACCCUUGUUUGGCCCUGGGGGAAAUAACCUCCCACCAUAUCCCCAACCACAUCGAAAUGCUUUUUCUCCCACAAAACACCUAACCCGGCGACGCAAUCAAACAGAUACAAACUAGAUGAGAAAUGGGAAAUGGCUGCUAAGUGCCCGUAACUGACAUGGCGCCCCGAUAGCUUCGAAGUCCCUCGGGCGCCAAUUGCAUAAGAUGGUGCCUGGGUGGUUUUUUUUUUUUUUUUUUUUUUUGGUCCUUGAAUUGUAAUUUGUGCACUUCAACUGCUCUCAUCCCUCCUGAUGCAGCUCGGCGUCCUACCCAGGAGGAGUAUGAAGCUGAGGAAAGCAAAUCAGAGCUGGCUAACGGCAGGCGGACAGCGGGAAGCCCCGCGCUGAGCUCGUUGCCCUUAGUCUUCAUAGCGCCAAUAUGACCCUAAGACCCACCCCUUGCCCUCAUCCAAAAUGUCGCCAGCCUGGCUUCACUCACCUCCAGGACUGGGAAGCGAAGGAAGAGCCCAUCCACCACUGCACAGCCACCAUGGGUGACGCCCCGCUGCCGGCGCCCCCAGCUCCCGCGCCCAGCC